rnacentral:ncRNA from 1 species
UAUAAUUUUAAUUUAUAAUUAAUUUUAAUUUAUAAAUUUAUAAUAAUAUAUAAAUUUUUGUUUAAAAUUUUAUUAAAUUAAUAAAUAACUAUUUUAAUAAUUAGAAUUAAUAAUUAAAGAAAUUUAUAAUUUGUAAUUUUUUGUUAAAAUAAAUUAAAAAAGUGCCAGCAAUAGCGGUUAAACUUUUUAUUUAAAAUUAAAUUUGUUAAUUAAUUAAUAAAUUGGUUUAAUUUACAUUUUUAAUUAUUUAAAAUUAAAAUUUUUGGUUAAAUAAAAAAUUUUAUUAAUAAAUAAUUAAAAUAUAAAUUAAUUUGAUUUUUAAUAAAAUUUAUUUAAAAAAUUAGGAUUAGAUACCCUAUUAUUUAAAUGUAAAUUAAUAUUUUAAUAAAGUAAAAUUUAAUAGUGAAAUAAAUAAAUUUGACAGUAUUUUAAUUUAUUCAGGGGAAUUUGUAGUGUAAAUUGAUAGUCCACGAUAAGAACAACUUUUAUUAAAAAAAUUUAUGUAUAUUCGUUUAAAAAUUUUCUUUUAAAAGUAAAUUUUUAAUUUUUUAAUAAAAAUUAAUUCAGAUAAAUAUAUAAUUUAUAUAAAAGAAUUUAUGAAUUACAAUAAAAUUUAUUUAUAAAUUUAAUAAUUUAAUUUAUUAAUAAAUUAGGAUUUGAUAGUAAAUUUAAUUAAUUUAUUAAAUUGAUUAGUUAAAAAUUAAAAUAUGUACAUAUUGCCCGUCAAUUUAAUUUAAAUAAAUUUUAAAAUUUAUUUAAAUUAUUUAAGUCGUAACAAAGUAAAAUUACUGGAAAGUGAUUUUAGAAUAUA